AUGCCUGGCCCUGGUUUACUUCUGGAAUAUAAAAGGGGAGAGGGCACACUGAACACCCUGCUCCCUGGAAGUAGCAUCUGGCAGAGAAGAAAGCAGUUUAGAAUCAAGCUCACCUACCCACAGCUUGUACUUCUCCAUGGUGGCUGCUUGGCCACCUUCGGGUGUGAGGUGCUUUCCCUCGUGCAGACAAGGGACAGCGUGGCCCCGGGCACGGGCUCAGGACUGUCUGGGCGGCAGCUUCUGGGAGCCUUGUCUGGAAGCGGGGCAGAGAACCUUGGGCGCACAAUGGAGCCGGAUAAGCAGGUGCCGGGGAGGCACAAGGAGAGAGAGCAGCGCACAGGACCUCCACAGUGUCCGAGAGCAGACCUGGCCUGGAGUGCAGCUGAGCAGGGCCCAGGCCGUGGAGUGAGAGACGGGCCAAUCGGGCAGGGGACAGCGGGCACUGUGCCCACGGUGGAGUCAGGAGGACCAGGCCUGGGUGAGGUCCGGCGUUAAUAAGGGCCGGGUGCACAGAUAAGCCCAGGGGUGUGAUGAGCAAGACCACAGGCAAGGUGAUGGAGGGCCACUAAGGUAACUGCUGUUCCUGCCCAUCUGGAAAAAAGGUUUUCUUUCUCACUUUAUUCUGAUGGAAAACAAAUUUUAAUCCAAAUUUCAGACUAAGGGUACAC
rnacentral:lncRNA from 1 species